UAAAGAUGUUUAAGUUGUUUCUACUCUUUUGCUGUUACAGGACCAAAAAAAAAUAUGCUGCAAUGAAUGUUCUUGUCUAAAAUCCUUGUCUGCAAUUCCGAAGCCCGAACAGCUUUAAAAAAUGCAAGUCUCUUCAAAUUUUUGGCACACUCAUUUGGCAGCUAAACUAUAGCUUGAACCAAUGUAAACUCAUUUAUGAAUCACUAACAACAACAACAACAACAAAUGUGGUUCUUAAACAUCAAGAGUCUCUGGGGCUUUUCUUUCCCACUACAAACCCUCUACAAAGCUUCCCAGAAUUCCUGUCCUUGAAGCAGGAGUCAAACUGGAUAGCAAGGAAUAAGCCCCAGGAAGACUGAGAUGGGCCCUCUCUAAUCCAGUAUUCUACCGUCCAUCAUCAACAGACCCUUGUCUGUAUUUCAUAGCGAUAAAAAACAUGAUUUAUCAGAUAAUGGAAAGAACUCAGAUUUUCAGGUGCCAGGUAAGAAACAUGCAUUUUGGGGGGUAGGGGAGGUGGGGUGGAGUUUCAUUACUAGGAAUAGAGCUCACUCUGCACUCAAGUUGUUCUUACUACUUUUUCUUUUCCACAAGAAGGAAUCGUACCGCACAAAGUGAUUUUGAAGGUGGCAGUAACAGCAGAGAGAACCUCCGUAAAUUCUGGCUUGGUACUCCCAACACCAUUCCACAGUAAGAGAGUGAAACCAAGGAGCGCCUGGGCGGCUCAGGCAGUUAAACGUCCGAUUCUUGAUUUCAGCUCAGGUCAUGAUCUCGCACCUGGUGGGAUCGCCCCAUGUCAGGCUCCUUGCUGACAGCAUGAAGCCCGCUUGGGAUUCUCUCUCCCUCUCUCUGCCACUCCCCCACUCACGCUCUUUCACUCUCUCUCAAAAUAAAUAAAAAACAUUUAAAAAAU